CGCCAUCGACGCCACCAUGACGCCAAACGACGACCUCCACCUACGCGAGUCCAUCACCAAGCAACGGACGGAGAUCCAUGCUAGGAUAGGGCCGCACCACCGCCGUCGCCCACCACCCACAAGCGCACCUAGCCCCAAGGUUCCCAAAGCGGCGCCUUCAAGAAGGGAACGGCGCCGUGAGCGCUGCCGCCGCCCAACAAAGUUAAGGCUUUCGCCCGGGAGACCUAGGGGAUUGGGAAGUGAGGGGAUCAGUCCAUACCGACGCCUCCAAGGAGGGGAACGGCGCCCUCAGGCGU
rnacentral:lncRNA from 1 species